rnacentral:rRNA from 1 species
GAUUCCUACGGGAGGCAGCAGUGGGGAAUUUUGGACAAUGGGCGAAAGCCUGAUCCAGCAAUGCCGCGUGCAGGAUGAAGGCCCUCGGGUUGUAAACUGCUUUUGUACGGAACGAAAAGCCUGGGGCCAAUACCCCCGGGUCAUGACGGUACCGUAAGAAUAAGCACCGGCUAACUACGUGCCAGCAGCCGCGGUAAUACGUAGGGUGCAAGCGUUAAUCGGAAUUACUGGGCGUAAAGCGUGCGCAGGCGGUUUUGUAAGACAGUGGUGAAAUCCCCGGGCUCAACCUGGGAACUGCCAUUGUGACUGCAAGGCUAGAGUGCGGCAGAGGGGGAUGGAAUUCCGCGUGUAGCAGUGAAAUGCGUAGAUAUGCGGAGGAACACCGAUGGCGAAGGCAACCCCCUGGGCCUGCACUGACGCUCAUGCACGAAAGCGUGGGGAGCAAACAGGAUUAGAUACCCUGGUAGUCCACGCCCUAAACGAUGUCAACUGGUUGUUGGGUCUUAACUGACUCAGUAACGAAGCUAACGCGUGAAGUUGACCGCCUGGGGAGUACGGCCGCAAGGUUGAAACUCAAAUGAAU